AUAUCAAUGAAGUCAUCAAAAUGAGCAAAGCCUUUCCAAUAGCAUUUCUGAUACAAACUGUUAGGUCUUGGUUUGUGGAUGAUAUCAAAACGUCAGCGAGAUAUCGACGUUUGGAUAUUUUUGGAGAGAAUCAUUUCUUAAUAAUGAUAUGUUAAAUCACGUCACUGGUAUAAACUAAGCAGAUAUAAAGCUAUACGCUUCUAACGUUGUUGAUAUGUUUCAAAAAUCUAAUGAAGGGACUGCAACAAGAGCAAAAAUGUUUCUUAAAAGUGGAAAAAAUCCUAAAAGUGGUAUAAACGUGUACAUGGAGAACAGGGAACCGUCUGCUCGUUUAACAGAAGAGCACAAGGGCAAGCUGAAGGUCUUGACGUACCCCGUGGGAUAGCAACGCUCAUCCGGGAAAUGAGUUUUGGUAUGACUAAUUACACACAUCAGGUGAUCCAGCAGCUGCGUGUUUCACCCAAGUGUCGGAGUUACACAACGCGCACAUCAACCCGCAGUGAGCGCGGACCACGUCGCGGGACGCAGCGGUCUGAAGACGCUCUCCGAGCACUGUCUCGCUCUCACUGCGUACGAGUGAGCGAGAUAGAUAGAGAGAUUUUACAAUUACAUAGACAAGUAGUAGACGCAAAAUAGUUAAGUAAAUCUGUAAUAAACGAUCAAAU